CGUUUUUCCAAUUCUCUCUUUGAGCGGCAAAUGAAUAGACACUGUUUCACUUAUUCUUUCCCUCAUAUUCUAGGGUUUCUCUCAUUCUCCUCCUUCCCUCUCUGUCGCCACUGAUAUUCAAAGAUCUUCAAUCCAUCAAUUCGAAUCAAGAAACCCUAAAUCUAUUUCGCGAUUCCACUUUGGCGACUAAUCUCUCCGACAUUCCCUGCCACCUUUGUUUGAUCGACUUCUUCUUCAUCUCGGUAAGGUAAUUUAUCUUCUUGAAUCCAUUAUAUUGUUUAAUUAAUCAUGUAUUUAUAUAUGUUACACUGAUAUUUGUUUAUGUUUUUCUUAGAUUUCAUCUAUGUUUGAGUUUUUGUUGUACGAUUUUCCCAAAUUUGGGGUUUAUUCUAAAGAUUAGUAACCCUAACUUUAUAAUUUCUUGAGUAUUGUAAAGAUUAGUAACCCUAACAUUAAAUAUAUAUAAUGCUGGGAAUCUCAGUUGUGAGAUAAAGGUUCCAGUGGGUUGUGAAUUGAGUGGUAGGCUACACUUCUUUUCGUGUUUUCUUUCGUGGGAUGAGUUUUUGUUCUUGGUAGGUUCCGUAUAUUAUUUUUUUCUACAGAUUCUGUGAAGAACUUUUGAUUUUAAUUGGAAACUGUUAUCUGUUACGGAGUAUUUGACGACGAAAUCGGUGAAUACGAGAGGUUGAUUGGAAAGCGAUGUCGGAACCAGCGUCGGAUUGUAGGUUCAGUGACGGCGAUAUGACAAUGUUUUAUAGAUCUGUAUCGUUGAGUGGAUUUUGGUCGAAGCAUCGCGAUGACGUUGGCUGCAAUUAACUCCAGAAGGGUAGUGAUUAGUGAAUGAACAACUUAGUUAAAGUGUCUUUGUUCGGUGGUUGCGAAUUUUGGCCAAAUAUCGAAGACAUGGAUGCACAAGAGGUAGGGAUGCCAGAACCAGUGUCUGAUUGUAGGUUCAGUGACGGCGAUACGACAAUGUUUUAUAGAUCUGUAUCGUUGAGUGGAUUUUGGUCGAAGCAUCGCGAUGACGUUGGCUGCAAUUAACACCAGAAGGGUAGUGAUCAGUGAAUGAACAGCUUAGUUAAAGGUAUUUUUUGCAUUUUUAAGAGAGAUAUCUAUCUUAAAUUCCAUUAUAUGCAUUCAAACUAUAUUUUAUAAUUUUUGUGUCAUGCUAAUGAAAGUAUGAUAUUUAGUGUCUUUGUAAGUUUUGUUUCAGAUCCGGGUAUCAAGUCAUCAGACUUUGUAAGUUUGUAACCAAUAUCAAUCGAAUACUGAUUGAUAUCAUUGCACAUCUGUUUUGCAUCUUAUCAGAGUUUUGUUUCCAAAUUCUUUAGCUAUCAACAUCUUUAAUUAUUUUAGAUGUUAUGCCUUACUGAUCCUGAUAACUAAUUAUCUUGGUUCAUGUCAUUUUUCGUAUUUGAGUUUUGAGAUCAAACAAAUUUUCUUUGGUUUGAUAGUUGAUUUUAGUUCUUUGAAUUUUAUAAAAGAGUAAUGUAGAGAAUUAACUCAAAAAGUUAUACCUCCCGGAAAAAGAAAUAUGGGCCUGCCAAGAUAAAGUAUAAAUUUCAAAUGGUAUUCAUCCCUAGGGUUUGUUUGUUGUUUUCUUCCCCCAUUGCAAACCGUAGUUAUUUACAAGAGACCUCUGGAAGUUUUAGGUUUGGUCUGUGUGUUGGCGAUCAACACUUACCUGGGAGACAUAAGGCAGCACUGGUUUGGGUGGUUGUCAUUUCGUUGGUUACCUUAUUUGCACCUUACUCCCAAACCAAAACCCUUAGGAUUUAGAAACCGGUUGUGUCCUAUUAACCGGUGGUUUUUGUGUUCUUAUGGGGAUCUGGUUGUUGAGGGUUGGGAUAAUUUUUACAGGUUGACAUCUCCAAUUGGGCAAAUCCUUAUGUUAUGGUGGUCUCCUCUGUUCUGUAUGAUAGAAAUGAGGUUACUGGAUCUUGGUUUAUCGUUCGGUUCUAAGGCUUUGACUGCUAAGAGCUGGGUUCAUCAACUGUGGAAGCAGGGCAGCUAUAAAGACCAUUAUGCCCUCCACUGGCUAAGUAAUUGGGUUGUGUAUGUUUAUAAAAGUAAAGACAGGAAGAAUGGUUUACUGUCCCAUGUGCGUGUGACUGGUAACUGUCUCAAGCCUCUUGGGGUGUGGCUGUUGCUGUUAGCUGGUUGUAUUGGGAUGAUCAGUCAGUUUUCAGCCCCUAAGCGAGGAACUUUUGAGUGCGGGUGGCAUCAUAUAGUGCAGUCGGACUGAAUAGACAAAAACAGCAGGCUUAGCUGCAACAUCAAGGGUAUUGCGGUCUUUUUGCAGCUGUCUGUUGCUAUUACCGUUGUAUGGCUGAUGACAUAGCUGUUGAAGACCAAACACAGGACUUUUGUGCCUACUAAUUGGGCCAGGGGUAAUUCAGUCAUUUGGGGUUGGGUGGGCUUGCUGCAGGUUUUGAGAAUUAAAUACAUGGUGCACCGAAUAAGUGACCUGUUGUGUGUGCUGCUACAAAGUUUGAGCUUAAAGUUUAGAGCUGAUAUUAUGAUGCUGCUGGGUCUUAAUGCAGCCUCAAACUACAUAUAUACGGCUGUUAAGAGCUUGCCGCAUUAGAAUAUCAUCGAAUUCUGCAGUAAGAAUGUCUAAUGCUUUUAAGUGUAACUGUCAGAACAAGACAUACCAAGGCUGGAAGUUUCAGCAUAUCUUCAACAUUUUGGACAUGACUUACAUCAGGUUUUUAGGGGCUGCGUGGAUGGUUAAACAAUCUCAAAAGGUAAGCGGUAAUGGGCUGUCAAAAUUGGACAGCAAGGUCACACAUUCGGGUGUGAUUUCGAGACCAAAUUAUGUGGUACAAUGCAGCAGCGAGUUAGGAUUUUUUGCAUUUAUUUGACAGGGUGUUUCAGGGCUGAGAACUCUGUAUAAACAACCACGGUAAGUGUCAGUAAAGGCUGCCAAAACAGAUCAUGAACGAGAAGACAACAAUGAGUGUUUCGGGGCUGAAUUGAGGUGUAUGAACCAUUGAACCAUGGGUCUGUAAGUGAAGUUUGGUGUUCUAUCAAGGAUAGCAAGAUGAUAUAUAGCGGUGGCUUGCGAUGGUCGAUCAACUAGAGAGAUAAAGAGUUUGUUUUGCAUAAGAUGUAUACUUCAUCUGAGUUUAAUGGGAUUGUAGGAGUAGAACUUGGAGCUGGCACAGGCUUGGUCGGGAUGCUGCUUGCACGCAUUGCUAAAACAGUCUUUCUGAUGGGUAUUCAUGCAUACACACAUAGCCUUUCUCCCCCUCCUCUUUUUUUUCCGGUAGAGGUGGUAAUAUGGGUUUUAAAAUGCGCUAUCACAAGCGCAUAAUGCGCGAUUACAUGAUGCAAUGAUGAUGCGCUCUAAAUCGCAUAAUGCGCUCCUGAUGCGCUCACAUGAUGCGCACAUUUUUUUGAAAUCGACCACUAUAGAGUAAAAUUGUACAAUGAGCUUAAUAAGUUUGUACAAUGAGAUGAUGAAGUUGUUAAGAUAGUUCCUAGGUAGAUUACUUGUACAGUUGUACCUUUUGCAUAAAUAGCUUUACUAUGAUUUAUUUUAUUGAUUAUUGA